CCUGAACCCAGAACAACAAGAAUGGAUACCACAGCCUUUCAGAUAAUGAUGGUCAUAGGACUACUUACUUUGGUAGUUCUUUCUUGUGCUGGUCACAACGAGUCUGACUCUGAUCAAAACCAAGACAAAGAAAUUUCAGAACUGUUUACAUUUCUGGGCCUGGGAAUUGUUGACUCUGCAGUGGACUUUAUUCUAAACACAAUGUUCAAGAGCUCUGGAUAUAUGAACUGGGAAGACAAACAAGCAAGGACUCCAUGAAAAUGACUGAGGACGAGUGACAUCACGACCAUGACAUCUUGACUUGCUGUGAAUUGAAUUUAAGUAAGAUGGAAUUGCAUGAAGUCAUCAGCCUCACUCUCUUCCUGUCAUCCAAGACCUGGGACAAGACAAAAAUCAGGACAACUGGUGAUGGCUGGAGAUACAGUAGAUGACGUUGGCACCCUAACCAAGCUCUAUGUACUCCAAGUCUGCUUCAGCAACCUUCAUGGACAUUGGAACAAAUAAUUUUAAUCUAUCCAUUCCAUAGUGGGAAGUCUUCACAUGCAUGAGGUAGAUACCACACCACCACCCCCAACUCACCAAUGAGUUUGAGACCUAUCAAUCACCCUCAACCUGGUUUGGCCUGUCUGCCAAGAAGAUUGUAGUGAUGUGGAGCCUCCUCGCAUGCUCCAGGCUCAGAGGUACUGUGUGAUAGAAGGACUUGAACCCUCCUAAUUCCAAGACCAAGCCUUACUUCAUAUUGUCCCCUUUGAAUUUAAUAAUAUAAAAAAGAAUAGGAACAAAUGUAAAGUCCUAUACUUGAGCACAAAAUAACCAACUGCAUAAAAUACUGGAUAAGGAAGGCAUGUUCAGACAGCAGUUUCUGUGGGAUUUUAGGGGACCAAAAACCCAAUGAUUCAGGCAUUGACUGAGUCAACAAUAGGGUUCUUCAGAUGACAAAGCUACUACAAUCCUUGUAUGAAGGACAAUGAUUUGAUAAUCCCACUCUUCUCUGCCUUGCUCAUUAUUUAGUAUAUUUUAAGAAGAAUAAUGAACAGCAUUGGAUUGAAUUUAUUUAAAUAGAAAUAGACUGGUGCUCUAGGAUUCGCUAAUAGAUGAGACUGAUAUGGGGCUUUGGGACCACAUUAUACAAAGAUAAUUUGAAGAAAAUAGGAAUAUUUAGUUCCCAUGGAAUAAUUACCCUCUCUAUAUACUGCAGGUGAUUCUAAAAAUUAACCUAACCUCUCUGUUGACCUCAGUCUCACAUAUGCAACUGCCUUUCCAAUAUCUCAAACUGGAUAUCCAGUAGACAUCUUAUAUCCAAAAUUAUCCAAAAUUGAAGCCAUUAUGUUGCCUCCUAAAACUUUCCCCCCUUCUAAACUGCCCUAUGAUUGUCAAGGUUAUCAUUAACCUCCAGUCUGUCCAGUAUUAUCCUCUUUUCCUCUCUAUUUCUCACUCUCUAUAUCCAUUCUGUUGCCAAAAUCUGUAGACUUCAUGUUUAAGACAUGUCUUAAAGAUGCCUUUUUUCUCUGAUACUUUAUAUCUUUGCACUGGGUUAUUACAAUAGCCUUCUAAUUGAUCUGUCUGCCUUAAGUCUUUCUUCACUCUCUUUAUCUUCCAGAUAACUGCAAUAGUAAUUUCCCUAAAGCACCAGUCCAACUAUGUCAUCUCCACACUCAAUAAACUCCAGUGGCUCCCUAUCACUUCCAGGAUCAAAUGCAAAAUCCUCUGUUUGACCUUGAAAACCCUUCAUAACCAACUCCUCUUCAAUCCCCCUUCCCUAUAGCCUCCACUUCUAGCCUUCUUAAACUUUACAUUCCUUACUCUUUGAACCAGGGUCAUUGACCUCCUUGCAUUCUUUUUCUGCCCCAAAUCAGCAAUUUAUUAUUCAUUGACACAAUUGGAACCUCAGAUUUUAUAAUAGUUGCCUCUAAAACAAAUUGGCCCUGUUAGAUCUAAGCUGAUGAGAAUCUUAAAGCUAGAAGGAAUCUCAUAGGAAAAUUAGUUCCAUUCCUUCCUGCAUAAGAAUCCUCUAUAUAAUUCCUGACAUGUGAUAUUACAGUUCCCUUCCAGGAUCCAAUAAGUACUCUGGAGGCUUCCCUCUGGUUCUUUUGAGUAUCUCAGAGAUACUAAAGUAGCCAUUAUUCUAUUGUGACUCAUGUUUACUCCAUAGUCAACCCAUAUCCUUUUCUGAUCAGACAUGUUGAGAAUGAUAAUUAUUUAUAUCAUUCCUACAGGGGUCUGAAAAUAUUUUUAAAUUCAGGUCUUACUAACACAAUGCCUGGAUUCUAUCCACUAUGCCAUAGGCAUAGGCAUAGAAUGCUCCCAGUACAGUAUCAUUCACAUCAUUCUACAGCCUUCUUCCUUCUACCACUGUAACUCAGGGUAUUCAAUAUUUCAUCACUAUUUUAAAUGUAAUUUCCUGCCACUUAUUUAUCACCUUUACUAAACAAGUAAAGUGUUAAUAAAAUUAAAUCAUUCUUUUGAUGAUUGACAAUAUUAACAAACUAAUUUUUGUUGUUGAGCCUUUUCAAUUGUGUCUAAUUUCGUCAUGACCCUAUUGGGAGUAUUCUUAGCAAAGAUACUAGAAUGGCUUGCCAUUUCCUUCUCCAGUUCAUUUUACAAAUAAGGAACUGAAGCAAACAGGGUUAAGUGACUUGCCCAAAGUCACACAGCUAAUAAAUGUCUAAGGACAAAUUUGAACUCAGGAAGAUGACUUUUCCUGAUUUUAGAACUGGCAUUCCAUCUACUAUAUAACCCAACUUCCCUACAAACUAGUCUUAAGUUUUGAUUAUCUAAAUAAUAGUUCAUUCAUAUUAUUUGUUUUGCUUAACCAAAGAACAAUUCACUUGAUCUAAAGCAUAGGGACUAAAUUUGAGGUUUUAUUGAUGUAGGGACCCUCUUAGAUAAAGAAAUUCACCUUAGCAAUGUCUUCUGAAGUUGUUGUCUAGAGUUGUCUAGGAUCCUGAAAGAGUGAAGUCUCUGUCUUUCUGUCUCUGUCUGUUCUUUGUAUCUCCAUCUCUCUCUCUCCAAUGCUUCUAGCCACUGACUUUUUUUUUUCUCCUAGGGCCUUAUCCCAAGCUUGUAGGCUAAACUAGGCCUUCCUUAUCCCUCUGGCUAUCAGUUCCACUGGCUGCUCAGCCCAGAGGCAUGGGCCUAUUGUCAGCAUCUGGGAAAUCAGUGGGAAGGCUCCCUGUAAUUAGAUCCUUUUCCAUUUCAGAGCCCCAAGAAGAUUGAAUCCAAGAACUCAGAGACUUGUGUUGUUCCAAUGUCCUGAGGUUUCAAUCAGGAUAUUGGUGUUUUCAGUAUGAGAAUAUCAUCAUUGAACCAUACAAGAACUGUAUCUAGGGAAGGGGAUACAUUUCAGUAACUGGAUUCUUUGAGAAGAGACAGUAAAAAGCCCAGGCCAUUUCAGCUCCAACUUGUGCUACUGGAAAUCAUUCUAAAAUGUCUAAGCAUACCCUCUUGCCUACAUCUGCACCAUGCAGAGAUCUCAGAUCUUCAUUUUUUUUACUUAGCAUUGUAUUUAAUACUCUAAAUUCUAAUAUUCUCUUUCAAAGUAUCUUCUAGUUCUUUUACAUAUUUGUAGCACCACCCCCUUCAGGGCCAUGUCCCAAACUGUACUUACGUUAGCAGGCCAAUAAUAAUAUCUAGCUUGUAUACAUAAGGCUCUGAGAUUAACAAAGUAUGUUAUGUGCUCUCUCAUUUGAUCUUCAUAACAACUCUUUGAGGUUAAAUACAGUUUUCCUCUUUCUUUUACAGAUGAGGAAACUGAGACUGAAAGAGGUCAGGUGCCUUGAACAGGGUCAUACAAGUAGUAGUAAAGACAGAAUUCAGGCUCAGGCCUUUCCUGACUCCAAGGCUAGCCCUCAAUCCAGUGUGCCACCUAGGUGACAGAGGAUGGCUAAGUGCAUCUAUUCUCAGGAUUCUAGGGGUAGCCCUAAAUACAAUGCUAAGAUUUCUAAUACUGUUGUUUAAGAGACCUCAUUAUCCUGCUCCCCGUUAAUUAUCAGUUAGAAAUAAUUAGAUUUUAGACAGAGUAUUUGGUUAAAUGGUAUAGCAGAGAUAAUUCUAUAAGAAAUAUCCACCUAAACUGAGGACACAUUCUUCUCUUUAACACCCAAAGUCCCUGGAGGGAAUGAGCCUAGACUGAAGAGCAGAAGUUGCCAAAGGCUAAAUUAAAAUCUACUGAUUGCUAAGAGUCUUUUGCUCCCUUCAUUGAGUUCUCCUAAAGUUUUUCUUAGUAUUAGGUCUUUAUGGACCUUAAGGGCCAAUGAUUACCCUUUUAGAAUCUUGAAGUUGCCUUCACACAGGAUGUCUAGUCUGUCCUCAGGGUGUCUCUUAGCUUGAAAUGCAGAUGCUACCAUAAGCCAUUACUCCUCCAGUUACUGUUACUAGAUUUGAUGGACAUUUGAAAUUUUCCUACCUUGGAAGCAUUAUGAGGUCAUGAACAGCUCUCUCCUUCCCCUAAAAGCAACUAUUCCUCUCAAGAAUCCUUCAUUGGUCAUUUAAACCACUAUUCAGCUGGUCUGGUGCUAGAAUGUGCAAUUCAGAGCUGCCUUGCUUAUACCUAGAACCAGAGGAGUUUCUUCUUCUUUCAGACAGAUCCAAGGUAUUUCCUAUAUGGCAUCAUCAUUUCGAUCCAACGAUCUAGAGCUCUUUUAUCCUUUUGAAUUGUUAAACAAUGUUAUAAUGAGAAUUUGGGCCUUUUAUGAUUAAUUUAAUGGGAGGACAACCCUCACCCUUAAACUAUAAUAUGUAAUCUAAGAACUUAUUUUAUUAGGCUAAUUCCAGAUCUAAUAUUUCAUGGUGUUCAAAGCCUCUUUCCUAUUUAGGUAGGCACUGAAUACUCUUUCUCUGAGGGUCCCUCUCAGCUCUACUAUUUUAUGUUCCAAGAUCCUUUCUAGCUCUUUCAUUCUAUGCACUAAGAUCUUUUCUAAAUCUUUCAUUCUAGUGUUCUAAGAUCUAUUCUAGAUCUUUUAUUCUAUAUUUUGAGAUCUAUUCUAGCUUUUUCAUCCUAUAUCCUAGCAUUCCUAUUACUCUUUCAUUCUUUGUUCUAAGGUCUCUCCAAACUCUUCCAUUUUGUGUUCUGAGUUCUAUUCCAGUUCUGUCAUUCUGUUUUUGAUGUUCUAAGUUCAUUCUCAGAUCUAAUAUUUCAUGAAGUACAUUCUUAGGUCCCUUCCAACUAAAACAUUCUGUGAUCCUGAUACAUAAUUCUCUUCUAGUUCUAUGGCUAUCCCUUCCCCAAACCAUUGUCCUCCCAUUCCCCAGAAAUGGAAGACAUGAUGAAGAAAAAUUUGUCUAAGUGCUUUAUUGAUACUGCUCAGGA